AUGGGAAGAUACUAGCAGAAGUAGGAGAAAAGGCCUGUGGAAUAUGUCCAUAUUUGCAUUUGAGAAACAACACUGGCUGCUCUCUGAAGAGACUAUGCGGAGCAGAAACAAAGCAAGGGUAUAACCAGGAGUUGCGAAGUGGUCGUAGUUGUUCAUGUCUCAAUCUGGAUCAUCUUUGCUUUUUGCUUCUGCUUUGUGCUAUCCCUCUUCCCGUACCUCAGUUCUAUCUGGGUUUCCGCUGAGAGAUCUGCUGUUAGUCUGAUGGGCUUCCCUUUGCAGGAACCAUGAUCUGUGACUGCCAUGGAAAAGUGUUGGGCAGGAGGAGGCCAGCUGGGUCUUUGAAGUUGACAAUGGAGCCAGGAAUGAAAGCUGCACUUAGGAUGAGAAUUGCUUUCCCUGGAGCCAAGUCAGCAAAUGCAGUCUGGUUGUCAGAGCUGAGAGGCUUCACCAAGUCAAGUAGGGGAGGACAUCUUCACUCUGCAACUUGCCCUACUGAAUGCAGAAAGUACUGUCUACUUAGAUAAAGCCUACACUAAAAGGGAAUUGAAUCUCUGCAAAUAAGUAUGUGGAUCUAAUUUCUACCUUCCAGAUUAAAAGUAUAAUUAAAAAUGAAAACCUUUGUAGGACUAAAUUGAUUUUGCAGACAAAUCUCACUUCUUAGCUUGAGCUGACUUAUUCCCAAUCUUAAACCCUAAUUAAUAACAUACAAGAAUGAGUUUUAUUAUACAUGCCACUUAAAUUAACUGUUAAUAUCAUCUCCUGAGCUGCCAACAGAACUUUUCUACAAUGAUGGUAAUGUUCUAUAUCUGUGCUGUCCAAUGUAGGAGUGAAGAG
rnacentral:lncRNA from 1 species